rnacentral:lncRNA from 1 species
GGGAAGUUAAUUAUCUCAUCACUGGUCUGGGAGUGGGACCAGGACCUGCUAGUUCAGUGAUGGUUUUCAUCAUACCCUAAAACAACGGCUUUGGCUGAUUGGAUAUUUAAUUUUUUUUCUUUGCAGAAAUGUCCAAUUAUUUGGGCAGAGGGCAGUCAAGCCUAUGCUGAAUUGUAGACACUGCUGUGUUCCUGCACCUGUUUCAGUUAUCAGAGUCUCCUAAAAAGCUUCACAACCUACCACUGUCCACACAGGCUUUCUGGUUCCCAUGUUGCAAGGCUGAAAAUAGAGUCCGAGAGAGAAGAAGUGAGAAUGGGGCCUCUGAAUGGCAGAGAGACCACGGGAGAACAUCUCCUGGAGCCUAG